rnacentral:rRNA from 1 species
AUACGUAGGGGGCGAGCGUUGUCCGGAAUGAUUGGGCGUAAAGGGCGCGUAGGCGGCGCGGUAAGUCUGGAGUGAAAGUCCUGCUUUCAAGGUGGGAAUUGCUUUGGAUACUGCCGCGCUUGAGUGCAGGACAGGUUAUCGGAAUUCCCGGUGUAGCGGUGAAAUGCGUAGAGAUCGGGAGGAACACCAGUGGCGAAGGCGGGUAACUGGACUGCAACUGACGCUGAGGCGCGAAAGUGUGGGGAGCAAACAGGAUUAGAUACCCUGGUAGUCCACACUGUAAACGAUGAAUGCUAGGUGUAAGAGGUAUCGACCCCUUUUGUGCCGGAGUCAACACAAUAAGCAUUCCGCCUGGGGAGUACGGCCUCAAGGUUGAAACUCAAAUGAAUUGACGGGG